rnacentral:tRNA from 1 species
GAGGCUGUAACUCAGUGGUAGAGUGCUUGCCUAGCAUGCAUGAGGUCCUAGCUUCA